rfam:Rattus norvegicus chromosome X, whole genome shotgun sequence.
GGAGAGGUGGCUCAGUGGUUAAGAGCACUGACUGCUCUUCCAGAGGUCCUGAGUUCAAUUCUUAGCAACCCCA